rnacentral:rRNA from 1 species
CCCUUAGAUGUUCUGGGCCGCACGCGCGCUACACUGACGAAUGCAACGAGCUUAUAACCUUGGCCGAAAGGUCUGGGUAAUCUCCAAAUUUCGUCGUGAUGGGGAUAGAUUAUUGCAAUUAUUAAUCUUCAACGAGGAAUGCCUAGUAAGCGCAAGUCAUCAGCUUGCGUUGAUUACGUCCCUGCCCUUUGUACACACCGCCCGUCGCUCCUACCGAUUGAAUGGUCCGGUGAAGCGCUCGGACCGCGGCCUCUUGACGGUUCGCUGUCGAUUGGCUAUGGGAAGUUCGUUAAACCUUAUCAUUUAGAGGAAGGAGAAGUCGUAACA